GAUGAAGAACGCAGCGAAAUGCGAUAAGUAAUGUGAAUUGCAGAAUUCAGUGAUUCAUCGAAUCUUUGAACGCACCUUGCGCUCCUUGGUAUUCCGAGGAGCAUGCCUGUUUGAGUGUCAUUAAUAUAUCAACCUCUUCAGCUUAUGCUUGUUGAGUGUUGGAUGGUGGGGGUUUGCUGGUGUCUUAUGAAGUCAGCUCCUCUGAAAUGCAUUAGCGGAACAAUUUGUUGACCGUUCAUUGGUGUGAUAAAAAUAUCUACGCUAUUGACGUCAGUCAGUUCAGCUUCUAACAGUCCAUUGACUUGGACAAAUUUUUCAUUAAUGUGACCUCAAAUCAGGUAGGACUACCCGCUGAACUUAAGCAUAUCAAUAAGCGGAGGA
rnacentral:misc_RNA from 1 species